rfam:Lysinibacillus massiliensis 4400831 = CIP 108448 = CCTG 49529 contig14, whole genome shotgun sequence.
GCCCUCGUGGUGUAAUGGAUAACACAGAAGAUUCCGGUUCUUCCGCUGGGGGUUCGAUUCCCUCCGAGGGCG